rnacentral:rRNA from 1 species
AGAGUUUGAUCCUGGCUCAGGAUGAACGCUAGCGGCAGGCCUAACACAUGCAAGUCGAGGGGUAACAUAGAGUGCUUGCACUCUGAUGACGACCGGCGCACGGGUGCGCAACGCGUAUAGAAUCUACCCUUUACUGGGGGAUAGCCCAGAGAAAUUUGGAUUAAUACCCCAUAGUAUACUAUUAUGGCAUCAUAAAAGUAUUAAAGGUUACGGUAAAGGAUGACUAUGCGUCCCAUUAGCUAGAUGGUAAGGUAACGGCUUACCAUGGCAACGAUGGGUAUGGUACUGAGACACGGACCAGACUCCUACGGGAGGCAGCAGUGAGGAAUAUUGGACAAUGGGCGAGAGCCUGAUCCAGCCAUGCCGCGUGCGGGAAGAAGGCCCUACGGGUCGUAAACCGCUUUUAUACGGGAAGAAACCCAUCUACGUGUAGAUGGCUGACGGUACCGGCUAACUCCGUGCCAGCAGCCGCGGUAAUACGGAGGGUCCGAGCGUUAUCCGGAAUUAUUGGGUUUAAAGGGUCCGUAGGCGGGCCGUUAAGUCAGGGGUGAAAUACUACGGCUCAACCGUGGAACUGCCCUUGAUACUGACGGUCUUGAAUUAUGGUGAAGUUGCCGGAAUAUGUAGUGUAGCGGUGAAAUGCAUAGAUAUUACAUAGAACACCGAUUGCGAAGGCAGGUGACUAACCAUACAUUGACGCUGAUGGACGAAAGCGUGGGUAGCGAACGGGAUUAGAUACCCCGGUAGUCCACGCCGUAAACGAUGGAUACUAGCUGUCCGGGACCUUGAGUCCUGGGCGGCCAAGCGAAAGUGAUAAGUAUCCCACCUGGGGAGUACGUUCGCAAGAAUGAAACUCAAAGGAAUUGACGGGGGCCCGCACAAGCGGUGG